rfam:Clostridium sp. CAG:167 genomic scaffold, scf97
GAGAGGAAGAACCAAUAUGACGAAGUCAUAUUUCAAGAUGGUUCUGACGACCUGCCGCCUGGCGUAAGCGAGGGGGCGUUACCUAUU